GUAGGUGGCAAGCGUUGUCCGGAAUUAUUGGGCGUAAAGCGCGCGCAAGCGGUUCUUUAAGUCUGAUGUGAAAGCCCACGGCUCAACCGUGGAGGGUCAUUGGAAACUGGAGAACUUGAGUACAGAAGAGGAAAGCGGAAUUCCACGUGUAGCGGUGAAAUGCGUAGAGAUGUGGAGGAACACCAGUGGCGAAGGCGGCUUUCUGGUCUGUAACUGACGCUGAGGCGCGAAAGCGUGGGGAGCAAACAGGAUUAGAUACCCUGGUAGUCCACGCCGUAAACGAUGAGUGCUAAGUGUUAGGGGGGUUUUCCGCCCCCCUUAGUGCUGCAGCUAACGCAUUAAGCACUCCGCCUGGGAGUACGGCCGCAAGGCUG
rnacentral:rRNA from 1 species